CAUCGCGCAACGGAUAAAAGCUACCUCGGGGAUAACAGGCUGAGCUCCCCCAAGAGUUCACAUCGACGGGGAGGUUUGGCACCUCGAUGUCGGCUCGUCGCAUCCUGGGGCUGUAGUCGGUCCCAAGGGUUGGGCUGUUCGCCCAUUAAAGCGGUACGCGAGCUGGGUUCAGAACGUCGUGAGACAGUUCGGUCCCUAUCCGUCGCGGGCGUAGGAAAUUUGAGAGGAGCUGUCCUUAGUACGAGAGGACCGGGAUGGACUGACCUCUGGUGUACCAGUUGUUCCGCCAGGAGCACAGCUGGGUAGCUAAGUCGGGAAUGGAUAAACGCUGAAAG
rnacentral:rRNA from 1 species